GACGAACGCUGGCGGCGUGCCUAAUACAUGCAAGUAGGACGCAGUUGCGAACGGGUGAGUAACGCGUAGGUAACUGCCUAUUAGAGGGGGAUAACUAUUGGAAACGAUAGCUAAUACCGCAUACUAGUAGAUGGACCUGCGUUGUAUUAGCUAGUAGGUAGGGUAAUGGCCUACCUAGGCAACGAUACAUCGCCGACCGUGGAGGGUGAUCGGCCACACUGGGACGUAGACAAGGCCCAGACUCCCACGGGAGGCAGCAGUAGGGAAUUUUCGGCAAUGGGGGGAACCCUGACCCAGCAACGCCGCGGGAGUGAAGAAGGUUUUCGGAUUGUAAAGCUCUGUUGUUAAGGAAGCGGUACUUAACCAGAAAGGGCCGGCUAACUACGUGCCAGCAGCCGCGGUAAUUC
rnacentral:rRNA from 1 species